rnacentral:rRNA from 1 species
GGAAUCUGCCUAUUAGUGGGGGACAACAUUCCGAAAGGAAUGCUAAUACCGCAUACGUCCUACGGGAGAAAGCAGGGGAUCUUCGGACCUUGCGCUAAUAGAUGAGCCUAAGUCGGAUUAGCUAGUUGGUGGGGUAAAGGCCUACCAAGGCGACGAUCUGUAGCGGGUCUGAGAGGAUGAUCCGCCACACUGGGACUGAGACACGGCCCAGACUCCUACGGGAGGCAGCAGUGGGGAAUAUUGGACAAUGGGGGGAACCCUGAUCCAGCCAUGCCGCGUGUGUGAAGAAGGCCUUAUGGUUGUAAAGCACUUUAAGCGAGGAGGAGGCUACUGAGACUAAUACUCUUGGAUAGUGGACGUUACUCGCAGAAUAAGCACCGGCUAACUCUGUGCCAGCAGCCGCGGUAAUACAGAGGGUGCGAGCGUUAAUCGGAUUUACUGGGCGUAAAGCGUGCGUAGGCGGCUUUUUAAGUCGGAUGUGAAAUCCCCGAGCUUAACUUGGGAAUUGCAUUCGAUACUGGGAAGCUAGAGUAUGGGAGAGGAUGGUAGAAUUCCAGGUGUAGCGGUGAAAUGCGUAGAGAUCUGGAGGA